rnacentral:rRNA from 1 species
AUGAAAAGGCCCAAGCUUGGGGAUGCUAUGUUUGACAAAGAUGAUGUUUCUGAGAAUAUAUUUGCUGCAAUUAAUGAAGAUGAUAUUUUUAGUCUCCCAAGUUUUGAUAUGCAAAUGUAUAUUGAUGAUAGCAUGCCUCCUUCUUAUGAUGAUUAUAUUGAUGAAAGUGGGUUUGGAAGAGUGUCAACUUUAGGAAGUAACGAUCCCACUAUUUUGGAAGUUGUUGAAUCUUAUUAUGAUAAUUAUGAAAGUGUAUUUGGAGAGGUCAUGACUUUAUUUAGUGAUGAUUCCACUAUCUUGGAAGAGGUUUCAAUAGAUUAUGAUGAGAACAAAGUUGCUACUUAUGAUGAUUAUUAUGAUCACAUGUAUGCUAUAAAAAGUAGUGAUGAUUAUAUUUAUAAAACUUGUCGUGAUUAUGAUUACCAUUUUUCUGAACAUUACUCUUUUAAUGUGGGAACAAUUUAUAGUAUUCGAGUUUCUUAUGAUACUUCCACUAUUCCGAAUGAGAAGAAUCUUGCUUAUGUGGAGAGUAGUAAAUUUUCUAUGCUUGUAGAUCAUGAAAAGAAUGCUUUAGGUGCUGGUUAUAUUGUUGAAUUCAUUCAUGAUGCUACUGAAAAUUAUUAUGAGGGAUGA